rnacentral:tRNA from 1 species
GGGGUUGUGGCUCAGCGGUAGAGCACUCACCUAGCAUGUGCAAAGCCCUGGGUUCAAUCCUCAGCACCACA